UCUUUUAUGUCCUCACCUGUGGCAUAUAGAAGUUCUUGGGCCAGGGGUGGAAUCAGAGCUGCACCUGGGCAAGACCAGAUCUGAGCUGCAUCUUCCACCGACCCCACAACUUGAGGUAACUGGGAAUCCUUAACCCACUGAGCAAGGCCAGGGAUUGAACCUGAAUCCUCACAGAGACAACGUUGGGUCCUUAACCCACUGAGCCACAAUGGCAACCCCGCAAAUGUGUUUUAUAUUUAUGGAAUUUAAUAGUUAUCUUCUGUGUUCAUUGCAAUGUGAAUGUUGCUUGUUCUUGUUUUUGUUAGUUCCUCAUUCAAUAACCACAUCUUCUUGUGUUUUCAAGGCCUCCAUCUACUUGAGCCACUCUUUUUUCAAAUCUGAACUCUUAAGUCAGCGUUAACAUCUUUUGGGAACUUCACCAACUUUCUUCUUUUCUUCUUCUUUUUAUUUAUUUAUUUAUUUAUUUAUUUAGACUGCUCCUGUGGCGUGUGUAAGUUUCCUGGGCCAGGGGUGAAACCUGCCCUAUAGCAGCGACCCAGACCACUGCAGUGACAAUGCCAGAUCCACUGUGCCAUAGGGACUCCCUAACUCCCCAACUUUAUUUAUUUAUUUAUUUAUUGCUUUUUAGGGCUGAAACUGUGGCAUGCGGAAGUUCCCCUCAGCAAAGCAUCUGCAAUCUGCUCAUGGCAAUGCCAGAUCCUUAACCCACCGAGUGAGGCCAGGAAUCAAAUCUGUGUCUUUAUGGAUAUUAGUCCGGUUUGUUACUGCUGAGCCACAAUGGGAAUUCCAUCCCCAACUUUCUGUCUUUUCUCCACAUGGACCUGGAGUUUGACUCUAGAUCAGAAUUACAGGUUCAGGAUCUGUAGUUUUCUAGAUCAGAAUUACAGGUUCAGGAUCUGUAGUUUUCAUUAGCUUUUCACAAGUCUAUAACCCCAACUAUAAUAUAGCUGAGAUUUGUUUAGUGCUUACUGACAGCCCCAGUGCUCUCCAUGUAUUAACCUGUUUAAUUUUUCCAGUUAUCCUAUUAAGUGGAUAAUUUAUAAUUUUUGUUAUCUUUAUUUUGCAGAAAAGGAAACUGUUAAGAAAUGCUGCCUUAGACCCCAUAGGCUUGAUAUAGUGUGACUGUGAUGUUUCAUUUAUUGCUCCAUACAUCCAGCCGGCCAAUCAUGUAUCCUCUUUUCCUUGGUGUUUGACCUUUUUCUCUCUUGAGCUAAGUGUGUGGCUGAAUAGUAUGGCUUUUUCAGAGAAAGAAUCUCUGAACCAGAGUAUGGGAGUUGCUGUCCUUCUCCAUUUAAACUCCAGCCGUGUUCUCGGUAUCAUUUAAAGGAGAAAACUUAGAGGCAAAGACAAAAGGUCCACAGGUGGUAAUGACAAAGGUCCCUCUGAAACAGGGCAGAAGUCUCAUGGAUUGGAUUCAACCUCCCCAAAGUGGAAAGGAUCUAUGAGGACUAAACAGCAGGUUCAUUGAAGUAACUGAAGAAGAACUUAAAAAAUACACCAAAAAAGAUGACUGUUGGAUAUAUCUAACAGCUCAUCUUGCAAUUUGUGGUCCACUGGCGAGCUCGAAUGUCUCAGCUGGAUUCCAGAACUCUUACCAAGGUUGAAUUUUUUAGUCGACAGUUAUGGCGACCACGAAGGGACCAGAGCAGACGCCUCUCCUUCGCCUGAACUCUACGAGGACAUGGAGCCUUGGUACCAGCAGAGACCCCCUUGUGCCUGUUCAUCUCCUCGGGGAGUCCAGACGAAUUUGGGUUGAAUUUUUUAGUCGACAGUUAUGGCGACCACGAAGGGACCAGAGCAGACGCCUCUCCUUCGCCUGAACUCUACGAGGACAUGGAGCCUUGGUACCAGCAGAGACCCCUUGUGCCUGUUCAUCUCCUCGGGGAGUCCAGACGAAUUUGGGUGAGUCUCUCCUGGAUCUCGGAUCUCCCAUAUUGGUUGAUGAUCCUGAGUUUUAUUUGGAGGUGUGUAACAGGUACCUGCCCCCUCAGGUGGAAGAGACGGGGGCGGGGGGCUGGUUGAAAGAUACCAGGGGAAAUACCCCCUCAGCAGAGAUGCUGGGGGGAAGCCAGCCAGGGGAUGCCCCCUCAGUGGGGAAUACUGAGGGGAAGGAAUACCCCCUCAGCAGAAACACUGCGGGGGAGCUGACCUGGGGGACUCCCUUGGCAGGGGAUACUGAGGGAGGGGAAAUGCCUCCUCAGCAGGGAGAUGGGGGAAGCUGGUUGAAAGAUACCAGGGGAUACCUCCUUAUCAGAGAUGCUGGGGAGAAGCUUGGUUGAGAGAUACCAGGGGCUAUACCCCACCAGUAGAGACAGUGGGGGGCUCAGUUGAAAGAUCUUGUGUUUGGCUUGGUUGAAAGAGGCUGAAGGGUCUGGGCUGGGGGUUUAGGUAAGAGGCUGCUCUGAUACAUUUCCUCAAUUUGGCGCCUUAAUAGAAUCUGUCGGGAUAAAAGUUAAGGUAUUACAUGAGAGUGUCACUUAGAAGAAAAGGGGCAAGACUCCCCCUGCCGCUGGUUAUGGUUUUCUCAGGUGGCUGAGGAAUUUAACGGGGGUGGUGGAGGCUGAGUCCUCAUGCCAUGCAGUGGUCCCACAGGGAAACCCACUCAAUUAAAACCUGCUCAACCGGGGACGUGAGUAAGAACUGGCCAUUUGGCAAUCUGAGCACCUGUAGUGUCCUAGAUGCCACUGGGAGACCCGAGACACAUAAAAGAGAGAGCCGAAGCAACUCUGGGCUAACACCUAGAGAAAUUAAGCUCUCAAGUGGCACACUGGCCCAGCACACCAUGUCAUUAGUAAACUUUAUCCCUGACAAAUUCAACUUUAAAAUGAGGAGCACCAGAAAGCCAGCCUCCAACUAACGCCUCAGCCAGAUUUGCGUAUGUACAAAACUUAUACUUGCAAGUAUCUACUGAAUUGAGUACUAAUGAAAAACAAUCUCAUUAAUACUCUAAAAUAACCAAAGUGGAAUCCUUUAUUGCAUAGGUAGUUAUUAGAGAUGCUAGUUUGGAAAACACAUUUCAGAAUUAGUGACUUCAGAGGAGUAUUUCUUCCUCGCCUUGACUGACAUCCUGACUGCUUGGGGUGCUUGAGGACCAGCCUGCCUG